AUACCAGCACCCCGAGUGGUCGGGACGAUUAUUGGGCCUAAAGCAUCCGUAGCCGGUACUGCAAGUCUUCCGUUAAAUCCAACUGCUUAACAGAUGGGCCGCGGAGGAUACUAUAAGACUAGGAGGCAGGAGAGGCAAGCGGUACUCAGUGGGUAGGGGUAAAAUCCGUUGAUCCAUUGAAGACCACCAGUGGCGAAGGCGGCUUGCCAGAACGCACUCGACGGUGAGGGAUGAAAGCUGGGGGAGCAAACCGGAUUAGAUACCCGGGUAGUCCCAGCUGUAAACGAUGCAGACUCGGUGAUGAAUAGGCUUCGUGCCUAUUCAGUGCCGCAGGGAAGCCGUUAAGUCUGCCGCCUGGGGAGUACGGUCGCAAGAUUAAAACUCAAAGGAAUUGGCGGGG
rnacentral:rRNA from 1 species